rnacentral:rRNA from 1 species
UACGGGGGGUGCGAGCGUUGUCCGGAUUCACUGGGCGUAAAGGGCGCGUAGGUGGCUGGCUCAGUCGGGCCUGUAAGUGCGGGGCUCAACCCCGUGAUGGGCUCGGGACGGGCUGGCUGGGGCGCGGUCGAGGGAGACGGAAUGCCGGGUGUAGUGGUGAAAUGCGUAGAGAUCCGGCGGAACACCGGUGGUGAAGACGGUCUCCUGGGCCGAGGGCCGACGCUGAGGCGCGAGAGCGUGGGGAGCGAACCGG